CCUACGGGGGGCAGCAGUAGGGAAUCUUCCACAAUGGACGAAAGUCUGAUGGAGCAACACCGCGUGAGUGAAGAAGGGUUUCGGCUCGUAAAGCUCUGUUGGUAGUGAAGAAAGAUAGAGGUAGUAACUGGCCUGUAUUUGACGGUAAUUACUUAGAAAGUCACGGCUAACUACGUGCCAGCAGCCGCGGUAAUACGUAGGUGGCAAGCGUUGGCCGGAUUUAUUGGGCGUAAAGCGAGUGCAGGCGGUUCAAUAAGUCUGAUGUGAAAGCCUUCGGCUCAACCGGAGAAUUGCAUCAGAAACUGUUGAACGUGAGUGCAGAAGAGGAGAGUGGAACUUCAUGUGUAGCGGUGGAAUGCGUAGAUAUAUGGAAGAACACCAGUGGCGAAGGCGGCUCUCUGGUCUGCAACUGACGCUGAGGCUCGAAAGCAUGGGUAGCGAACAGGAUUAGAUACCCUUGUAGUC
rnacentral:rRNA from 1 species